UCAAUAGAACACAACACCACUCCAGGUUCUCCUACUGCCCAGUUUCAAUAGAACACAACAUGGCUCUAGGUUCUCCUACUGCCCAGUUUCAAUAGAACACAACACCACUCCAGGUUCUCCUACUGCCCAGUUUCAAUAGAACACAACAUGGCUCUAGGUUCUCCUACUGCCCAGUUUCAAUAGAACACAACACCACUCCAGGUUCUCCUACUGCCCAGUUUCAAUAGAACACAACAUGGCUCUAGGUUCUCCUACUGCCCAGUUUCAAUAGAACACAACACCACUCCAGGUUCUCCUACUGCCCAGUUUCAAUAGAACACAACAUGGCUCUAGGUUCUCCUACUGCCCAGUUUCAAUAGAACACAACACCACUCCAGGUUCUCCUACUGCCCAGUUUCAAUAGAACACAACACCGCUCUAGGUUCUCCUACUGCCCAGUUUCAAUAGAACACAACACCACUCCAGGUUCUCCUACUGCCCAGUUUCAAUAGAACACAACACCACUCCAGGUUCUCCUACUGCCCAGUUUCAAUAGAACACAACACCGCUCCAGGUUCUCCUACUGCCCAGUUUCAAUAGAACACAACACCACUCCAGGUUCUCCUACUGCCCAGUUUCAAUAGAACACAACACCACUCCAGGUUCUCCUACUGCCCAGUUUCAAUAGAACACAACACCACUCCAGGUUCUCCUACUGCCCAGUUUCAAUAGAACACAACACCACUCCAGGUUCUCCUACUGCCCAGUUUCAAUAGAACACAACACCACUCCAGGUUCUCCUACUGCCCAGUUUCAAUAGAACACAACACGGCUCCAGGUUCUCCUACUGCCCAGUUUCAAUAGAACACAACAUGGCUCCAGGUUCUCCUACUGCCCAGUUUCAAUAGAACACAACACCGCUCUAGGUUCUCCUACUGCCCAGUUUCAAUAGAACACAACAUCACUCCAGGUUCUCCUACUGCCCAGUUUCAAUAGAACACAACACCACUCCAGGUUCUCCUACUGCCCAGUUUCAAUAGAACACAACACCACUCCAGGAUCUCCUACUGCCCAGUUUCAAAAGAACACAACACGGCUCCAGGUUCUCCUACUGCCCAGUUUCAAUAGAACACAACACCACUCCAGGAUCUCCUACUGCCCAGUUUCAAUAGAACACAACACCACUCCAGGUUCUCCUACUGCCCAGUUUCAAUAGAACACAACACCACUCCAGGUUCUCCUACUGCCCAGUUUCAAUAGAACACAACACCGCUCCAGGUUCUCCUACUGCCCAGUUUCAAUAGAACACAACACCACUCCAGGUUCUCCUACUGCCCAGUUUCAAUAGAACACAACACGGCUCCAGGUUCUCCUACUGCCCAGUUUCAAUAGAACACAACACGGCUCCAGGUUCUCCUACUGCCCAGUUUCAAUAGAACACAACACCGCUCCAGGUUCUCCUACUGCCCAGGUUCAAUAGAACACAACACCGCUCCAGGUUCUCCUACUGCCCAGUUUCAAUAGAACACAACACGGCUCCAGGUUCUCCUACUGCCCAGUUUCAAUAGAACACAACACGGCUCCAGGUUCUCCUACUGCCCAGUUUCAAUAGAACACAACACCGCUCCAGGUUCUCCUACUGCCCAGUUUCAAUAGAACACAACACGGCUCCAGGUUCUCCUACUGCCCAGUUUCAAUAGAACACAACACGGCUCCAGGUUCUCCUACUGCCCAGUUUCAAUAGAACACAACACGGCUCCAGGUUCUCCUACUGCCCAGUUUCAAUAGAACACAACACCACUCCAGGUUCUCCUACUGCCCAGUUUCAAUAGAACACAACACCGCUCUAGGUUCUCCUACUGCCCAGUUUCAAUAGAACACAACACGGCUCCAGGUUCUCCUACUGCCCAGUUUCAAUAGAACACAACACCGCUCCAGGUUCUCCUACUGCCCAGUUUCAAUAGAACACAACACCACUCCAGGUUCUCCUACUGCCCAGUUUCAAUAGAACACAACACCACUCCAGGUUCUCCUACUGCCCAGUUUCAAUAGAACACAACACCACUCCAGGAUCUCCUACUGCCCAGUUUCAAUAGAACACAACACGGCUCCAGGUUCUCCUACUGCCCAGUUUCAAUAGAACACAACACCACUCCAGGAUCUCCUACUGCCCAGUUUCAAUAGAACACAACACCACUCCAGGUUCUCCUACUGCCCAGUUUCAAUAGAACACAACACCGCUCUAGGUUCUCCUACUGCCCAGUUUCAAUAGAACACAACACCACUCCAGGUUCUCCUACUGCCCAGUUUCAAUAGAACACAACACAGCUCUAGGUUCUCCUACUGCCCAGUUUCAAUAGAACACAACACCACUCCAGGUUCUCCUACUGCCCAGUUUCAAUAGAACAACACAGCUCUUGGUUCUCCUACUGCCCAGUUUCAAUAGAACAACACAGCUCUUGGUUCUCCUACUGCCCAGUUUCAAUAGAACACAACACCGCUCCAGGUUCUCCUACUGCCCAGUUUCAAUAGAACACAACACGGCUCCAGGUUCUCCUACUGCCCAGUUUCAAUAGAACACAACACCGCUCCAGGUUCUCCUACUGCCCAGGUUCAAUAGAACACAACACCGCUCCAGGUUCUCCUACUGCCCAGUUUCAAUAGAACACAACACGGCUCCAGGUUCUCCUACUGCCCAGUUUCAAUAGAACACAACACCGCUCCAGGUUCUCCUACUGCCCAGUUUCAAUAGAACACAACACCACUCCAGGUUCUCCUACUGCCCAGUUUCAAUAGAACACAACACGGCUCCAGGUUCUCCUACUGCCCAGUUUCAAUAGAACACAACACGGCUCCAGGUUCUCCUACUGCCCAGUUUCAAUAGAACACAACACCGCUCCAGGUUCUCCUACUGCCCAGUUUCAAUAGAACACAACACGGCUCCAGGUUCUCCUACUGCCCAGUUUCAAUAGAACACAACACGGCUCCAGGUUCUCCUACUGCCCAGUUUCAAUAGAACACAACACGGCUCCAGGUUCUCCUACUGCCCAGUUUCAAUAGAACACAACACCACUCCAGGUUCUC